ensembl:lncRNA
AGAAAACAAAGAGGAUCUGUUUGGAAGGAGCAGGAUGUGGGACUGCUGUGAUAAGAGAUACUGCUCAGCGCAGAGGUGCAUGCAAAGCAGCUUCACAACUGCCUUUUCCUCAAAGCCUCAGCAGCCCCACUUCUCUACCCCAAAUAACAAGAAUAAGGCCACCGCACUUCUCUACAUCUGGAGAACACUUUAAAAAAAGGCACUGGUAGUAUCAACCUGGUCUGCCAUUGAGCAGAAAUGCAUUCCAACAGGAGAACAGUGAAGGGACUGGAUGUUGACGGACAGGAAGCCUGCUGAUAUCAAAGAUUAGAACCUAACACAUGUCCAGAUUUUUUCUUAGCAAUAUACGUUCUCUACAAAUUCUACAUAAAUGUAUGUCCUGAGAACGCUCAGAUUAGAGAAGAAGAAGCCUGUGGCCCUUUGCAGAUCUGAGAGUAAGGUCUCCUGAGUAACAGAGUAACUUGUGCUUUGUGCACAAGGGUUUGUGUACAGAACUUGGAGAUACCAUUACAAAAUAGUCAUUUUCGAGCAACUUGCCACAGAAAUGAGCAGAGCCUAGAGAGGAACCUUGCUGACAUAGACAAGAUAAGAAUCUAAGCUACCUUAUUUCAUGAGUCAAGAUUCUGGAUCUUGUUCCUUGUCAUGUGUCCUUUCAUACAGAAAGGACAGAAGGACUGGAUUGAAGUGAGGAGGGCUACUUGAGAUGUGCUCCACAACUGAAUAUAUUUAGAAAAAAGUUUUCAUGCCAUUUUACUUGUUUGCCACUUAAAAUGUUUGUUUGUUUGUUUGUUUCAUUGCUGCCCUCUUCAGCUCAGGUUCUCCAGGGUGGCAGGUCAGGCCUAUGGAUGAGGGAAGCAGACAGAGACAGAAGUUGUGCAAAGCUGGUCAUGGACUUAAUAAGGGCUUGAUUCCGUACCAACGAAAUCAACAGGAGUUUGGCUCAUGUUUGCAAUGGGAGGUGGAUCACCGCUUUAUGCCAGCUGUUCCCUGUUGGGUAGGGAUAAUCCCCUUGAAACAAAAUAUUUAACUUGUUCUCACUCUGUUGAUGUAAGAAGGCUUCUUGUGAUAAUGCUUUCAUGAGAAUUAAAAGGUGUGUCCCAUUUUUAAUGUCAAAUACCUCAUACCUCUAGUAUAUAUUUGCCAAUUCACACACACACACAAAAAAUAAAAAAAUCCAAGAAAUGAGACAUCUGCUGUUAGCCAUAUGGGUUUACAAAAAGUGCUACAGCAAUCUGAGGUGCAGGGUGUAUCCUCUAUUUGUUCUGCUUGCCAUGACUUGCAAUUUCCUCAGCUGGAAGAUGCAGCAAGGAGCCAGGUUAGUUCAACCAGCUGUAACUGAGGUGGGACCCACGGGCAGAUACAAAGUAGCCAAGGCCACCGUAGGCAAAUAAGAUGACAGAAAAAUAAACUGCUAACUGUCAUGAAGGGAGUCAUGAAGAACAAAAUGUGGGAACAUUAUCAGACAGACAGAGAAACAGGAGCUGAGGGAGGACAGUAAUUAUGAUAAAAUCAGAUAUGUGUCCCACAGUCUGGAUCCAAGUAUAGCAUUUAGUCUCAGUUACAACAGUAUUUUGUUUCUACGUUUUACUGAGGAAACGAGGCUCUGACACUGCCCAGGUUGUGCCAUAGAUCAGCAGCACACUGUGGCUAUUUCUAGCUUCUGCAUGUAUUGGCGGAGUUCACAGGCACUGUGGAAGUGGGGCAUAUUUAUCCCAGCCUUGGUUUGGUUCACUCCUUCUCACCCCUCUGGCUGAGAUCCAUUUGGCUAGCAUACUUGGAACAUAAUGUCUGCUAAGCUUUAUAAAGCAAUUAUUUAAUUUGAAAAGUCUCUUUGAUUGCAUUCUAAUGAGAUUUCCAUAAAAAUAUAGAGUUCUCCACCUACUCCUGGGAACUUUUGUUUACUCCAUAAACUAUGACUCUUUUCAAAAAGCUCCAGAAGACUUCAAGAGUGGAAGCUUCCAAAGACAGAAUUGUUUGGUCUGGCAUCUGGGAACUGAGAUUUCCAUAGACUUACAUUCUCCAGAAGCAGAAAAUGUAUGGAAUUGUUUGAGCUUAAGAAAUUAGGACACCUGUACAGAAUGAAAGGAGGAACUGAGAGAGACCACAGCAAAGCCGGGAGCUGCAUCCUGCUCUCUGUUCCAAAGAACAUUCCCCUUACAGAUUUUUAUGGCUCUCCCAGCCCUAAUAUUAAACACUUGACCUUUUUGUCAAAUACUAUUUUAAAUUAUUAGGUUGGCUGAUUAGUUACUAAAUAUACCAUAUGUAGUAAAUAGGAAAUUGUGUAGUCCAGUGCUACAGUCUCAGACCUUUCAGGUAUUGCUCCCUUGGCAUUUAGUGUCAGAACAUUGAGUCCCCUUGUAUUAACUUAAGCCACUUGGUUAGCAAGGAGUGCAUGGCAUUUUCACACAGGGUGUAGUGAUUUCUGAGGUAGCAUGACUAGAAUGUUCUCCUUCCCUUACAGCAUGUUCUCCUUCCCUUAUAGCAACCCCCUCCCAGUCCCUAACAGAUACCUUUAGUGAAAGUGCUGUAAAUACUGAGAAACCAGCUCAUGCCAAACAAUACAACCUAGACUGACUAUAAAUAAGUGCAUUUACCUUUAAACUUCUGUAAACUGGUCCUUUGCAAUUGUUUCUGCCCUGUACCCCUC